rnacentral:rRNA from 1 species
GACAGAGGCCUCAAGCGUUAGGCGGAAUCACUGGGCUUAAAGCGUGUGUAGGCGGAUCGUUAAGUACCUUGUGAAAUCCCACGGCUCAACCGUGGAACUGCUUGGUAUACUGCUUGUCUUGAGCCACUUAGGGGCUACCGGAACAAAUGGUGGAGCGGUGAAAUGCGUAGAUAUCAUUUGGAACGCCAAUGGUGAAAACAGGUAGCUGGGAGUGUGCUGACGCUGAGACACGAAAGCCAGGGGAGCGAACGGG